AACAACGAUUUUGAUACCUGAGUUUUUUAUUCUUAGGCCGAAAUCCUGUCACCUUAGGUCGAUCGGUACCUCAAAUUAAGAAUCAAAGAAGAGCUAAGAAAUUAGCUUGGAGAUUGAUGAUGAAUUUCAGUUCCUAAACUUGUCUAGGUCACACCCCACUACGGGUACUCCUGGGCCAUUAGCUCAGGUGGUUAGAGCGCACCCCUGAUAAGGGUGAGGUCCCUGGUUCAAGUCCAGGAUGGCCCAUUCGGUGUUGGGGGUUUAGCUCAGUUGGUAGAGCGCCUGCUUUGCAAGCAGGAUGUCAGCGGUUCGAGUCCGCUAACCUCCACUGACCGAGCCUUCUGCAGCGAGCCACAGGAUGACUUUAUGGUGAUGUGAUUUAGAUUAGAUGUUUACUGAGAAGACCCUAGCUUCCUAUCAUUCCAAACUUAAAGACGAUUUAGGUGAGGUUGACAGGAUGCUGGGCUCACUGUGAUUCGCAAGAAUUACAGAGAUGUUCAGUAGAACCUUGACAACUGCAUAGGUAAGUCUGGAAAAAAUAAAGCAUCUCCUGGAUGCAUUAUUUUUGUGAUCCAGCAGAAGUAAUCUACGAAAGUAGAGAGCCGACGUUGAAGAACGAGAAUAAUGUUUGAUUCUUGAGUCAAGAGCCGAGACUCUAUAACGUUCUUUUGUUGUCGUCGAGACAUCAAGAGUUAGAUUAUUAAUUCAAACCGACUUUGAUGACAAGCGAAAGGGAAACCUGAAGUUUGAGAUUAAAGCUAGGUGAAUUAGUGAGAAUACGUAUUCAACAUACGCGAAGCGUUAUAGAGGUUAAUUUGGUCAAGCUACAAAGGGCUCACGGUGGAUACCUUGGCACACAGAGGCGAUGAAGGACGUGGUUACCUGCGAUAAGUCUCGGGGAGUUGGAAGCACGCAUUGAUCCGGGA
rnacentral:misc_RNA from 1 species